UGCCUGUUAGCUCAGUGGUAGAGCACCAGCCCCUGAACAGCUGGAGGUCGCAAGUUCGAACCUUGCACAGGCUA
rnacentral:tRNA from 1 species